CGAGCGUUGUCCGGAUUUAUUGGGCGUAAAGAGCUCGUAGGCGGUUUGUCGCGUCGUUCGUGAAAACUCACAGCUUAACUGUGAGCUUGCGGUCGAUACGGGCAGGCUAGAGUUCGGUAGGGGAGACUGGAAUUCCUGGUGUAGCGGUGAAAUGCGCAGAUAUCAGGAGGAACACCGGUGGCGAAGGCGGGUCUCUGGGCCGAUACUGACGCUGAGGAGCGAAAGCGUGGGGAGCGAACAGG
rnacentral:rRNA from 1 species